ACGUAUGGUGCAAGCGUUAUCCGGAUUUACUGGGUGUAAAGGGAGCGCAGGCGGUGCGGCAAGUCUGAUGUGAAAGCCCGGGGCUCAACCCCGGUACUGCAUUGGAAAACUGUCGUACUAGAGUGUCGGAGGGGUAAGCGGAAUUCCUAGUGUAGCGGUGAAAUGCGUAGAUAUUAGGAGGAACACCAGUGGCGAAGGCGGCUUACUGGACGAUAACUGACGCUGAGGCUCGAAAGCGUGGGGAGCAA
rnacentral:rRNA from 1 species